rnacentral:rRNA from 1 species
ACGGCCCACCAAGACAACGAUGGAUAGGGGUUCUGAGAGGAAGGUCCCCCACAUUGGAACUGAGACACGGUCCAAACUCCUACGGGAGGCAGCAGUGAGGAAUAUUGGUCAAUGGACGAGAGUCUGAACCAGCCAAGUAGCGUGAAGGAUGACUGCCCUAUGGGUUGUAAACUUCUUUUAUAUGGGAAUAAAACGUUCCACGUGUGGGAUUUUGUAUGUACCAUAUGAAUAAGGAUCGGCUAACUCCGUGCCAGCAGCCGCGGUAAUACGGAGGAUCCGAGCGUUAUCCGGAUUUAUUGGGUUUAAAGGGAGCGUAGGUGGAUUGUUAAGUCAGUUGUGAAAGUUUGCGGCUCAACCGUAAAAUUGCAGUUGAAACUGGCAGUCUUGAGUACAGUAGAGGUGGGCGGAAUUCGUGGUGUAGCGGUGAAAUGCUUAGAUAUCACGAAGAACUCCGAUUGCGAAGGCAGUUCACUGGACUGCAACUGACACUGAGGCUCGAAAGUGUGGGUAUCAAACAGGAUUAGAUACCC